rnacentral:rRNA from 1 species
GUACUUAGACACUGACCCUAGCCCUACGGGGUGCAGCAGGCGCGAAACCUUUACAAUGUACGGAAGUGCGAUAAGGGAACUCUCAGUGCUCAUGCAUUGCAUGGGCUUUUGCUAAGUGUAAAUAAUUUAGCGAAUAAGUGGUGGGUAAGACGGGUGCCAGCCGCCGCGGUAACACCUGCGCCACGAGUGGCGAUCGCGUUUAUUGGGCCUAAAGCGUUCGUAGCCGGAUGAGUAAGUCUUGGGUGAAAUCGUUGCGCUUAACAAAACGACGUGCUUGAGAUACUGCUAGUCUAGAGACCGGGAGGCGUGAAGAGUAUUCCUGAGGGAGCGGUAAAAUGCUAUAAUCUCAGGAGGACUACCUGUGGCGAAGGCGCUUCACGAGAACGGGUCUGACGGUGAGGAACGAAAGCUAGGGGAGCAAACCGGAUUAGAUAUCAAAAAUUCUGUAAAUUUUUGGAACUUCACUCACGAAGUUCGUAAAGUACGAGAAAUUUUAUGUUUGCAAAUAAAAAACACUGUAAAAUUCUUGAAUCAACAUCAGAUUUUUUGACUAAUUACCCGAGUAGUCCUAGCCGUAAACGCUGUGUACUAGAUGUUACGUAUUCCACGUGAAUAUGUAGUGUCGGAGCGAAGGCAUUAAGUACACCGCCUGGGAAGUACGGUCGCAAGGCUGAAACUUAAAGGAAUUGGCGGGAGAGCACCACAAGGGGUGCGGCGUGCGGUUUAAUCUAACUUUACGCAGAGAAUCUCACCAGCAGCGACGGCAGAAUGAAGGUCAGAUUGAAUGUCUUACCUAACGAGCCGAGAGGUAGUGCAUGGCCGUCGUCAGCUCGUGCCGUAAGGUGUCCUCUUAAGUGAGGUAACGAGCGAGACCCAUACCCAUAAUUGCUAGCAGACUCUUUAGAGUGACUGAGCACCUUAUGGGGACUGCUGUGGAAACGCAGAGGAAGGUGUGGGCUACGAUAGGUCUGUAUGCUCCGAAUCUGCUGGGCUACACGCGCGCAACAAUGGCGAGGACAAUGGGCUGCGACACUGAAAAGUGGAGCCAAACCUCCAAACCUCGUCUUAGUCUAGAUUGAGGAUUGUAAUUCAUCCUCAUGACAACGGAAUCCCUAGUAAUCGGGUUUCAUCACGACCCGGUGAAUAUGUCCCUGCUCCUUGCACACACCGCCCGUCAAACCAACCGAGUUGGGUUUGGGUGAGAUGCAGCUUUUAGUUGUAUCGAAUCCAGAUUCGGUGAGGUGGGUUAAGUCGUCACAAGGUAGCCGUAGGGGAACCUACGGCUG